GGUUAAGCGACUAAGCGUACACGGUGGAUGCCCUGGCAGUCAGAGGCGAUGAAGGACGUGCUAAUCUGCGAUAAGCGUCGGUAAGGUGAUAUGAACCGUUAUAACCGGCGAUUUCCGAAUGGGGAAACCCAGUGUGUUUCGACACACUAUCAUUAACUGAAUCCAUAGGUUAAUGAGGCGAACCGGGGGAACUGAAACAUCUAAGUACCCCGAGGAAAAGAAAUCAACCGAGAUUCCCCCAGUAGCGGCGAGCGAACGGGGAGGAGCCCAGAGCCUGAAUCAGUGUGUGUGUUAGUGGAAGCGUCUGGAAAGGCGCGCGAUACAGGGUGACAGCCCCGUACACAAAAAUGCACAUGCUGUGAGCUCGAUGAGUAGGGCGGGACACGUGGUAUCCUGUCUGAAUAUGGGGGGACCAUCCUCCAAGGCUAAAUACUCCUGACUGACCGAUAGUGAACCAGUACCGUGAGGGAAAGGCGAAAAGAACCCCGGCGAGGGGAGUGAAAAAGAACCUGAAACCGUGUACGUACAAGCAGUGGGAGCCUCUUUAUGGGGUGACUGCGUACCUUUUGUAUAAUGGGUCAGCGACUUAUAUUCUGUAGCAAGGUUAACCGAAUAGGGGAGCCGAAGGGAAACCGAGUCUUAACUGGGCGUUAAGUUGCAGGGUAUAGACCCGAAACCCGGUGAUCUAGCCAUGGGCAGGUUGAAGGUUGGGUAACACUAACUGGAGGACCGAACCGACUAAUGUUGAAAAAUUAGCGGAUGACUUGUGGCUGGGGGUGAAAGGCCAAUCAAACCGGGAGAUAGCUGGUUCUCCCCGAAAGCUAUUUAGGUAGCGCCUCGUGAAUUCAUCUCCGGGGGUAGAGCACUGUUUCGGCAAGGGGGUCAUCCCGACUUACCAACCCGAUGCAAACUGCGAAUACCGGAGAAUGUUAUCACGGGAGACACACGGCGGGUGCUAACGUCCGUCGUGAAGAGGGAAACAACCCAGACCGCCAGCUAAGGUCCCAAAGUCAUGGUUAAGUGGGAAACGAUGUGGGAAGGCCCAGACAGCCAGGAUGUUGGCUUAGAAGCAGCCAUCAUUUAAAGAAAGCGUAAUAGCUCACUGGUCGAGUCGGCCUGCGCGGAAGAUGUAACGGGGCUAAACCAUGCACCGAAGCUGCGGCAGCGACACUGUGUGUUGUUGGGUAGGGGAGCGUUCUGUAAGCCUGUGAAGGUGUACUGUGAGGUAUGCUGGAGGUAUCAGAAGUGCGAAUGCUGACAUAAGUAACGAUAAAGCGGGUGAAAAGCCCGCUCGCCGGAAGACCAAGGGUUCCUGUCCAACGUUAAUCGGGGCAGGGUGAGUCGACCCCUAAGGCGAGGCCGAAAGGCGUAGUCGAUGGGAAACAGGUUAAUAUUCCUGUACUUGGUGUUACUGCGAAGGGGGGACGGAGAAGGCUAUGUUGGCCGGGCGACGGUUGUCCCGGUUUAAGCGUGUAGGCUGGUUUUCCAGGCAAAUCCGGAAAAUCAAGGCUGAGGCGUGAUGACGAGGCACUACGGUGCUGAAGCAACAAAUGCCCUGCUUCCAGGAAAAGCCUCUAAGCAUCAGGUAACAUCAAAUCGUACCCCAAACCGACACAGGUGGUCAGGUAGAGAAUACCAAGGCGCUUGAGAGAACUCGGGUGAAGGAACUAGGCAAAAUGGUGCCGUAACUUCGGGAGAAGGCACGCUGAUAUGUAGGUGAAGCGACUUGCUCGUGGAGCUGAAAUCAGUCGAAGAUACCAGCUGGCUGCAACUGUUUAUUAAAAACACAGCACUGUGCAAACACGAAAGUGGACGUAUACGGUGUGACGCCUGCCCGGUGCCGGAAGGUUAAUUGAUGGGGUUAGCGCAAGCGAAGCUCUUGAUCGAAGCCCCGGUAAACGGCGGCCGUAACUAUAACGGUCCUAAGGUAGCGAAAUUCCUUGUCGGGUAAGUUCCGACCUGCACGAAUGGCGUAAUGAUGGCCAGGCUGUCUCCACCCGAGACUCAGUGAAAUUGAACUCGCUGUGAAGAUGCAGUGUACCCGCGGCAAGACGGAAAGACCCCGUGAACCUUUACUAUAGCUUGACACUGAACAUUGAGCCUUGAUGUGUAGGAUAGGUGGGAGGCUU
rnacentral:rRNA from 1 species